GAUGAACGCUGGCGGCGUGCCUAAUACAUGCAAGUCGAGCGAACGGACGAGAAGCUUGCUUUUCUGAUGUUAGCGGCGGACGGGUGAGUAACACGUGGAUAACCUACCUAUAAGACUGGGAUAACUUCGGGAAACCGGAGCUAAUAUCGGAUAAUAUUUUGAACCGCGUGGUUCAAAAGUGAAAGACGGUCUUGCUGUCACUUAUAGAUGGAUCCGCGCUGCAUUAGCUAGUUGGUAAGGUAACGGCUUACCAAGGCAACGAUGCAUAGCCGACCUGAGAGGGUGAUCGGCCACACUGGAACUGAGACACGGUCCAGACUCCUACGGGAGGCAGCAGUAGGGAAUCUUCCGCAAUGGGCGAAAGCCUGACGGAGCAACGCCGCGUGAGUGAUGAAGGUCUUCGGAUCGUAAAACUCUGUUAUUAGGGAAGAACAUAUGUGUAAGUAACUGUGCACAUCUUGACGGUACCUAAUCAGAAAGCCACGGCUAACUACGUG
rnacentral:rRNA from 1 species